GUGGGGAAUAUUGGACAAUGGGGGGAACCCUGAUCCAGCCAUGCCGCGUGUGUGAAGAAGGCCUUUUGGUUGUAAAGCACUUUAAGCGAGGAGGAGGCUACCGGGAUUAAUACUCUUGGAUAGUGGACGUUACUCGCAGAAUAAGCACCGGCUAACUCUGUGCCAGCAGCCGCGGUAAUACAGAGGGUGCAAGCGUUAAUCGGAUUUACUGGGCGUAAAGCGCGCGUAGGUGGCCAAUUAAGUCAAAUGUGAAAUCCCCGAGCUUAACUUGGGAAUUGCAUUCGAUACUGGUUGGCUAGAGUAUGGGAGAGGAUGGUAGAAUUCCAGGUGUAGCGGUGAAAUGCGUAGAGAUCUGGAGGAAUACCGAUGGCGAAGGCAGCCAUCUGGCCUAAUACUGACACUGAGGUGCGAAAGCAUGGGGAGCAAACAGGAUUAGAUACCCUGGUAGUCC
rnacentral:rRNA from 1 species